rnacentral:lncRNA from 1 species
UUCUACUUGGGUGUUUUUGACCUUAGCCCCAGUGAGUACAUGGAGCAGGUAUGGUAUGUGUUUCAAGUUGGAAACACGAGGUAAGGUCUGUGAUCCAAUUUUAUUGGCUACCUUGAUUAUGCAAGUGUUAACUGUGUGUUUUGAUUGCUUGCAGAUUUAUUGGGCAUCAAGGUGGAGAUUUGUUGGGUUUUUUGAUACCCAAUAAAUCCCGGGCUAUGAUGUUAACGUGGGUUAAUAUUAUUUUAUAGGCAUAGGCCGAUGAAUGAAAUAAGUCCAACAACCAAGUUCAUGAGCUACACCCGGCCCAAUUGUAUUCCUUAUGGAUGGCUUGAAUCUUGGCCCGUUUACCCCUUUAAUGGCCCAACUUAAAGCCUAACCCUAGAGUAUAUAUAUGAAUAUAACCCUAGCCUCUUUGUGAUGAUGAUUGUGUGAUUUUGAGAGAAGAAACUAGUGAAUCCCGGUUG